AAAAAAGAAUCCGUUACAGAGCCACAGGCUUCCCUCAAAACAUCUCACAAGUCAGAUGCAGGCAUGAGGACAGAUGGAGAAACAUCACAGAGCCGUCAUUUCUGGAAAUUGACUCAACACAGGGGAUCUAAGCUGACAGAGCUGGGAUUCAGAGCUAUGCCUUCCAGCUCCCUAACACAGGCUUGAGCAGGUCUAACAUCCUGCUGUUCCUGUAUCCCACUUCAUUAAAACCCACAUAGUGGUUUCCAUGGGCUGAGGCUCACAUGUAGAUGAUGGUUCGUAACAUUUUAUGAAAGGAAGGUCAACCCAGAAAUGGUUAGCACGAGAAAUACUUAAGGAAGCAUGCAAAGGCUGAUGUAGCAGGAUGCUGACCAACAUAAUGUGUGUCUCCCUAGAGCAUCUGCAGAUAAUUUAGUAGUUGUCCACUGUGAAAGAAAUGCAUUGAAUGAAAUAUAUUUCAAACAACACAAUCGGAAGCAUCGUGGAACUACUCAAAUGAUAAUUCCUAUUUGUAUUCAUUGCCAUGAAAAUAUGCCUGUCAUAUAUUUUCAAAUAAAACAAACUACAA
rnacentral:lncRNA from 1 species